UUUUUUUUCAUUUCCCGCUUAUCCUCAUUCCUCUUCUCUGGUUACUUCUCUUCCCUCUUCUCUCCUCCUUCUGUUCGACUCCUUCCCCGAAUUGCAUUACCUUAGUUUUCCCGAACUAAGGAAUCCCUUAGAUAUGAUGCAAAAUGUCUCUGGUUCUCUAGUCGCGAAAUCCAACACUUACAUCACUCACAGCAUACACCGCACGACUACCCGCGUUGCCGCUGCUGUUCCCCCACCGGCAAAAUCGUCCUCUUCCCGCCGCCGCCGCAGCACACAGGAGUCGCUCCUCCUUAUCUCUUAUAGGGUGACCUUCCUGGCCGCAGAAACAUGUUUGGUAGCCUGUUCAAUUAGAAAUGCAUAUCACACAAGGUGCCAAGGAAUCUUUGGUCAAGAACAUUUAUCACGCGCCACACAUUUAUCAAGGUGCAUGGGGGGCUGUUGCAACUACAAUGACAUUGCUGUCAAUGAUUGGGUAUGUCGUCUAUUAAUGAAUCCACUCCAAGGAUGACUCUGGUGCGACGUGGUUGGUGGAGACAUCAAAAUGAAGGUAUUCAACAAUCCGAGGGAGCAGCCUUUCACCACCAUGGAGAUAAAUGAAGUUCGAGACAAGUUGAAAAACUUCAUUACUAGUGAUUAUCUUUGAUAUUUUCUUGUAAUGAAUCAUAGAUUAUGAAUGCUAGUUUUUCAUAUGAUUGUAAUGUACUCGACUUUUAGAUUCACAAUUAUACUUUUUAUUUAAUUAUCUAUAUAAUUGAAUUUUUUUUA